UUGAGGGAAGAAGACCCUUCCUCUUUCCUUCAGUGGCUGAGACCAUUGAGCUGAAGUCGACUUCUCUGCAGUCUUAAGUUAUUCCAGACGGUGGAUUGAAUGAUUUUCUCGCCUUACCUUCCUCAGAUGUGGAGGCCCGGCAGCGGCCGUGGCUGGCACGGUGCACAUGGCAACCAAAGUCUGCUGCAGAAGUUUUCUUGGCGUAUUAAAAUUUGCCCACAAGAGAGUUUACCGGAAAAGGAAUCCUCAAGACCUGUUUGGGAAGAGGAAUUGUUGGAUCAAAGGACAUUGUGCAUCCAUCCAAAAAAAUGAAAUCUUCCAUUUGCAAUGAUGUGGAUGGAAUAGAAGUUAGAAGGAGAUGUGCCUAUGGAAAGAUGAUCAGAGAUGUACUCUUGCUGGCUUUGAAGAGGAAGGAGAGAGACUCGGAGCCAUGGAAUGUAGGCAGCCUUUAGAAACUGCAAAAGGGAAAGAAAUGGAUUUGCCUCUAAAUCCUCCAGAAAGAGGCACAGAAUUGACAGCACCUUGAUUUUAGCCCAGUGAGACAAAUGUUGGACUUGUGACCCACAGACUGUAACUUCAUGUUGAUUUACCCCACUAAGUUUGUGGUAAUUUGU